rnacentral:tRNA from 1 species
GGAGCUGUAGCUCAAUGGUAAAGUACUUGCCUCACAUGUGUGAGGCACUGGGUUUGAUCCUCAGCAUCACCU